UUCUGUUCCCAGUGCAUAUAGAUAAAGCUGAAUAUGCCAAAAUAUGCCUGUUGGUGAAGAGCUGCUUUCUAUGAAUAACUUGCCCAGCAUUCUGGUGCAUCAGAAUUAAAGACAUUUGAACAGGUUUUAUGUAUAGAUGAAUGCAGUUUUUACACUUCUGCCCCAAUGGAUUCAUCAUGACAUUCCCUUGCCAGCCAGUCCGUUGGAUGUAGAACUCAAUGACAGCGUGUGUGGAUUUCCAGUGGUUACGACAGUUAGGACAGUCAUACCUGCAAAUAGAAUUAAAAGAAUGUGUUCUUCAGUUGUUCUAGUAUGAACUUUGUAGCACAUACCUGAGUUAGAAAUAUAUCUCCACCUUGAUAUAGCAUUUAAAAGAACACUGAGAUGAGAGGGGCAAAACACAAAGACUUAGGAAGAGAAUGAAAACACACAAGAAGGGGCAUUACCUUCACAGGCACAGUUUGUGGAUGCAAUUUUUCAUAUUUUUUCACACCAUGCAGCAUUUAUUUUUUACAGAAUUCUAGUGUAAUUGACUAAACAAGUCUCUCAAAUGAUCUUUGCUGCUGUGAUGUCUCGUAUCUCAAAACUCAGAGCAAACCCCAAUGUCCUGGUCUCAGCUCACUCUUCUGCCUAUAGCAGCCAGCCUUUGGCUUCAGAAGGGGCAUUGGAGUAGGUAUAGGAGUAGGCAUAGGAGUGAACCAGGGCCUUAACUGUCUGCUUGUAUAGAGAAGUGGUAACACAGAGAGCACAGGUCCCGAGUUCAACUCCAGGCAGGUUAUUACAGCUGCACAGCUGCAAUAACAAUAGAAUUUGUGCCAAGAAUGCACUCACAGUUAUUCAAAGAAUUAGACCUAGCUGAAGAAAUCUUUCUAAAUACUCACUCUCCAAAGGCAUCACGUUGAGUGAAUGAUUUCCAUCUCUCCUGAUUUGGUUUCUCAUUGCAGAUGUUUAUAGUCCACUUAUCUGAAACGAUUUCUGAAACGAUUUCAGAAAAUGUCUGUUUCCAUUUCUGAUAGUCACCCAUUGUGUCUCUGAACAGCUAUUUGUGCUCUAGCGUGUUAUAUAUCCACAGUGUUUCCUGAUGGUUUAAAAGUGUGGGUGUGGCUAAAAGCUGCAUAGAAGCAGGUUUAUAAGCAGGCUUGGCUCAAUUGUUCAUGUAUUAAUUUAACCCUCAGGUUGCUGACUCUCAAUUGAGCCAAAAAAAUCAAAAAUGAAUGUAAAUUGUGAACAUCCUCAGAGAAGCACCCUGUGCAUUCCAUAAUGGGACAGAUCCCAAACAACAGAAACCUGAGCUCUCCUAUGCAGUCCCCAAAGUUGGCCCUGAACCACCCCAACAGCUUCCCACUGAGUAGACUCAACAGAGACCCCCAAAAGAGAUGUCAGGUCUUGCAACUGUAGCAAUGUAAAGCAGUUUUCCUAUAGCUUUUCUAUAUUGACAGUUGUUUUGUAGUAAAUGGCUUUGCUUUCUGCACCUGUAUUUAUCUAUGAGCCUGGUUUGGAUAAACUAUAGUGUCAGUUCAUCUUGAGGCCUUGCCUCCAGAGCAUUAAUCAAUGCACUGUAUGAUUCAGGUAAACUGUACAGAAGUAUGAUUGUCUUUUAUAUCCACUCCAAUUGUCUGGAGCAGUAGAAUUCUUAAUGAAUCAGAUGAUGACUUUAACAUACAGUAGCUGGUCAGAUUGAAUAUAUUGGAAUACAUGGACAAAUAAUCCCUGUUUAAUUUAAAGGGGAGGACAUUUUUAGUAUCUUAAUGCAUUUAAAUGUCUUAGGGGCAUAUUUGUCAAGGAUCGAAUUUUCGAAGUAAAAAAACUUUGAAAUUCGACCAUUGAAUUUGAGUACUUCCAGUGAAAAUGACCAUAUUCGAUCAAAGUACAAUCAAAGUAAAAUCGUGAGAUUGAACGAUUUAACCCUUCGAAUC